GAUGAACGCUGGCGGCGUGCCUAAUACAUGCAAGUCGAGCGAACAGAUGAUGAGCUUGCUCCUCUGACGUUAGCGGCGGACGGGUGAGUAACACGUGUAUAACCUACCUAUAAGACUGGUAUAACUUCGGGAAACCGGAGCUAAUACCGGAGAAUAUAUUGAACCGCAUGGUUCAAUAGUAAGAUACGGUUUUGCUGUCACUUAUAGAUGGAUCCGGGCGGCAUUAGCUGGUUGGUAAGUUAACGGCCUACCAAGGCAACGAUGCGUAGCCGACCUGAGAGGGUGAUAGGCGACACUGGAACGGAGACAGGGUCCAGAGUACUGCGGGAGGGAGCAGUAGGGAAUCUUCGGCAAUGGGCGAAAGCAUGACGCAGUAACGGCGAGUGAGUGAUGGAGGCGUUCGGAUCGUAAUACCCUGUUAUUAGGGAAGAACAACUGUGUAAGUAAAUAUGCAGGUAUUGACGGUAACUAAUAAGAAAGCAACGGCUAACUACGUG
rnacentral:rRNA from 1 species